AUUGAACGCUGGCGGCAGGCCUAACACAUGCAAGUCGAGCGGGGUUUUCGGACCUAGCGGCGGACGGGUGAGUAAUGCGUAGGAAGCUACCCGAUAGAGGGGGAUACCAGUUGGAAACGACUGUUAAUACCGCAUAAUGUCUACGGACCAAAGUGUGGGACCUUCGGGCCACAUGCUAUCGGAUGCGCCUACGUGGGAUUAGCUAGCUGGUGGGGUAAUGGCUCACCAAGGCGACGAUCCCUAGCUGGUUUGAGAGGAUGAUCAGCCACACUGGAACUAAGACACGGUCCAGACUCCUACGGGAGGCAGCAGUGGGGAAUAUUGGACAAUGGGCGCAAGCCUGAUCCAGCCAUGCCGCGUGUGUGAAGAAGGCCUUCGGGUUGUAAAGCACUUUCAGUAGGGAGGAAGGGUGUUGUGUUAAUAGCACAGCAUUUUGACGUUACCUACAGAAGAAGCACCGGCUAACUCUGUGCCAGCCGCCGCGGUAAAAC
rnacentral:rRNA from 1 species